CUUUUUAGACCUUUUCGGUAUACUAGUCACUGUGUUUUAAAUACACUUUUAUCAUAUCUAGUAGUUACCUCGUGAAUUUCAUAUUAAAUCAGCAAGCUGGCUGACACCUAUAUGUUAUCUUCAAUCUAGAUUAGCACUAGCCUAGUCGCUAAUGAUAGCUAGCUAACAUCCCCGACCAUGAGCUCACUGAGCUACUCCCCCCUUCCUAAAGAAAAGGACAGAGACAGACGCUCUCGUGAAAAAGGAGAAGGAAGAGGAGGCUGUCCCAGUAAAAACCUUUUUUGAGGAAGUAACAAUGAAAGAAGAGGAAGCUUUCAGAGUGAAAGAGGAGGAAGAGAAUGAGGAGGAUUGCAGUGGUUGGCGUGAAAGAGGAGGAGGGUGAGAUGACUUUCUCAUUGAAAGAAGAGCGGACUGGAGAUCUUAACACCAGAGAGAGACCAGACUCUCGCUCUGAGAGUGGGAAGAGUCCUUCAGAGGAACCAGACCUAGAGAAGCCCAAACCAGCCAGACCACAUCAAUGCUCCCACUGUGGAAAUAGUUUUACUUGACUAUGACCUGCCAUUUUGUCGUGCUUGAGGUCCCACAUUCUGUCUUUCCAACUCCAAGCUACCUUCUGGUGGACCAGUGUAAUUGACAUGGACUUGGAAUUUAAGUUUGUCAAAGCAUUCUGGAAUGAACUAACCCCGCUAUUGCAUCACCAUACAUCUACAACUCCUUAAAAGCAUUUUGUCAACACAAACACAAUAUUUGGAGCUUGACAUUUAAACUUUGAUUUUACAGUCUUUGAAGUCCUUUAGUAUGUUUUACCUGUUCUUUGGUCACCACGGUCAAGUUCUACUGAUUAAUUAAGAGCUUAAUAAAUUACUUUAAAAGGG